rnacentral:rRNA from 1 species
CGGACGGGUGAGUAAUGCGUAGGAAUUUACCUCAAAGCGGGGGAUAGCCCGGAGAAAUCCGGAUUAAUACCGCAUGUGCUCUACGGAGGAAAGCGGGCCUCUACUUGUAAGCUCGCACUUUGAGAUAAGCCUACGUUGGAUUAGCUAGUUGGUAGGGUAAAGGCCUACCAAGGCGACGAUCCGUAGCUGGUUUGAGAGGAUGAUCAGCCACACUGGGACUGAGACACGGCCCAG